UAGCUCAGCUGGUUAGAGCACCUGCCUUACAAGCAGGGGGUCACUGGUUCGAGUCCAG
rnacentral:tRNA from 2 species